UAGCAUAUCAAUAAGCGGAGGAAAAGAAACCAACAGGGAUUGCCCCAGUAACGGCGAGUGAAGCGGCAACAGCUCAAAUUUGAAAUCUGGUCCCCAGGGCCCGAGUUGUAAUUUGCAGAGGAUGCUUUUGGUGAGGUGCCUUCCGAGUUCCCUGGAACGGGACGCCAUAGAGGGUGAGAGCCCCGUCUGGUUGGAUACCGAGCCUCUGUAAAGCUCCUUCGACGAGUCGAGUAGUUUGGGAAUGCUGCUCUAAAUGGGAGGUAUAUGUCUUCUAAAGCUAAAUAUUGGCCAGAGACCGAUAGCGCACAAGUAGAGUGAUCGAAAGAUGAAAAGCACUUUGAAAAGAGGGUUAAAUAGUACGUGAAAUUGUUGAAAGGGAAGCACUUAUGACCAGACUUGGCCCCGGUGAAUCAUCCAGCGGUCCCCGCUGGUGCACUUUGCCGGGGUUCAGGCCAGCAUCAGUUCGCUCCGGGGGAUAAAGGCUUUGGGAAUGUGGCUCCCUCGGGAGUGUUAUAGCCCAUUGCGUAAUACCUUGUGGCGGGCUGAGGUUCGCGCUUUAUGCAAGGAUGCUGGCAUAAUGGUCAUCAGUGACCCGUCUUGAAACACGGACCAAGGAGUCGUCUUCGUAUGCGAGUGUUCGGGUGUUAAACCCCUACGCGUAAUGAAAGUGAACGCAGGUGAGAGCCCUCCAGGGCGCAUCAUCGACCGAUCCUGAUGUUCUCGGAUGGAUUUGAGUAAGAGCAUACGGGGCCGGACCCGAAAGAAGGUGAACUAUGCCUGUAUAGGGUGAAGCCAGAGGAAACUCUGGUGGAGGCUCGCAGCGGUUCUGACGUGCAAAUCGAUCGUCAAAUAUGGGCAUGGGGGCGAAAGACUAAUCGAACCUUCUAGUAGCUGGUUUCCGCC
rnacentral:rRNA from 1 species